GUCGGGGGGGGCUAGAUGCGGGAAGACUGGGAGGCAAAAUGUUAAUGAAACGCUCAAACACUAGGCCCACGUUUUGUGAUUGUGAUGUCAAACAAUGUGACGGGGCGGGCGUGCUGCUGUGUAAGGGCUCCAGCUAUAGCCGAUGUGUGAAAAGGCGUGAGCAAAAAGGGAAGAGUUGGGGAUAACAAGCUAUUAGUCAGCGCUACAACAACGUCAGAGACGAGGAUCCACGGAGGACGAUGUGUCCCAUCCGGGCUGCCGUUACCGGUGCUGCGCUGCUAAGCCGGGAUGACUAACUCCGUCGAUGUCCCACCCCCACAGUGUACACUACAACUCCGGCACUAUUCCUGUACCAGCCACAUCGCUCUGGCACGGAAAUACCAGCACCUCCAAGAACAGACGCCAAGCCUGUCAGAGCAUCAUCACAACCCACAGGACAGCUGGGAGGAGGAGGAGGGAGGACAACGCAAACAGAACAGAAGCAAAAGCAUGAGGAGCGAUGAGCACAGCUGCCGCGGAGAGAAAAGAACCAACAGCGAGACAAAAGAGGAAAUGAAGACUGCGUCUCUGAAGGAGGGAUCGCCGUUUACACUCAUGCGCCGGUAGAUCGGCCUCAAAGCAACCGCUUCUCACGCGUCUGAGGAAGCGUGUGCUGGAAUAACACAAUGUUUAAGGGCCACAAGCUGACGACAAUGGAGGAAAGGAAAAGCUGUCAAAUUUGCACUUGCUUCUUUAUUUGGAUACUUACGUCAAAGUACUGUAUGCUGAAGUACUGUGUUGGCAAAGUGGGCAGCCGCCCAGGUGGGACUGGCUCUCCAUGAGUUGGCUCAAUGCAUUGUUUUACAUCAAGGUGAUGGUCAGCAGACACGGCUAUCUCAGGUUGCCUACAAGUCUCCACAGCUAAUGUGAUGAUUAAUGUGCCCCCCUCAGAGCUUACAACGUAAGACAGGUCACAGUGUGUACAAAACACUGUGAUAUCUAGAAAUUUAAUAUCACAAACCAACAAGAAAAUCUUCAAAACCCAGUAAUGCAAAUAGUAAAUCUUGCGUAUGUAAAUCAUAAGAUGUAUUAACUAAUACAUUGCAGCCUUGUGUAAAGCACAGUGCGGGGUCACCAUAGAGGAAACCUCAUCUAUUGCCCAGGGGACACAGAGGGAACAGACCUCUCAGGGGCACAAAUAUAUCAUACAGUGGUUCACAGUCAGAAAAAAACCCUCAUAAGGUAAAUUAGCGAACGUCUGUCAUGUUAAAGUCACAUGUUAAUGCUGGUGGAGAGCCGAGAUAAAGAGUAAGAUUUAGAUAAAUGCAAAUCAAAUAAUAAAACAGGUAGAUGUGAAGGAGAGGUCAAAUACUGAUAGAAAUCUAAGCAUCACUCUCUAUGGGUCCUUUCUGUCUCACUCAUCUCCUUCCUUUUGCUUUCUCUCCUCUCUUUAUCACAAUGUAGAUGGACGGUUGCCGAGGGCAACCUGUGUGUACUCACCUAAUGAUGAACAGGAAGUGGUGUGUGUGCAAAGAUGCUAUUAAUAGCAGCAUGUGUAGAAAGGACAUUUGCUCACUCAGUGAUGUGUGUGUGCGCAUAAGAGCACCUGUGUGUGUGUGUGUGUGUGUGUGUGUGUGUGUGUGUGUGUGUGUGUGUGUGUGUGUGUGUGUGUGAGCGAGCAGCCAGCAUGUAACAGGGAGGAGGAGGAUGCAGAUUGUGAGACUCAGACAGUUACUAGAGAGAAGAGGGGGGGGGGGGGGAGUGAGGGAUGAACGGAGGGAGUGAGGGAACGUAGUAGAGGAGGGGGCGAGUGUGUGUUGACGCUGUACGUGGCGUCAGUGCGAUAAGAAUAGAGAUGGUGCGUGUAGCGCUGCUGAGACAUCACCCUCACACCCUCAGUGGGGCAGGCAGGACUCACUCUGAGUGUGUGUGUGUCUGUCAACGAGUGCAUGGCUGAUAUUGCCGAGGGUAUUCUCAUGUGUGUGUGGAUGAGUAAACUGGUGGGGUUGCAGUGAUUUUUUUCCCUUCACUUGUGUAAUUGCAGUUAUGUGUACAAGUUUCACCUGGAAACGCUCCUUCCUUUUUCAUCUCAACCUAUUUUAAGGCAUUGCGCACGACGCUGGAGCAACUUUAGAAGGUAAAAGAAUAGUUUGGGGAAAACAAGUUAAUACUGUGAUUUAUGUUCAGUUUUUACAGCAAUGUUAUUUUUAUUAAAGCAAUGCUUUGAACAGACAGAAAUAAUGAAUAAGACGACUAUUAAGCUCUAUUUGUUAAUAUAAAAUCUACUGCAUUACUCUUCUGAGAAAUGUAAUAGUAUUACAUAAUAUUUAAAUGAGGGUUCUGCAUCCUCUGCACAGACACAUUGUGAAACAAUGGGCCCCUGGUCAUAGACAUGGAAGUGGUCCCUCAUUUCUCUUAAAUCCAAGACAAACAGCCUCAAUUAGACACAAACAGCCGCAAACAAUGCAGCUGUUUAAUCACUUUGUA